rnacentral:rRNA from 1 species
AUUGAACGCUGGCGGCAGGCCUAACACAUGCAAGUCGAACGGUAACAGGGAUCAGCUUGCUGAGUCGCUGACGAGUGGCGGACGGGUGAGUAAUGUCUGGGAAACUGCCUGAUGGAGGGGGAUAACUACUGGAAACGGUAGCUAAUACCGCAUAACGUCGCAAGACCAAAGAGGGGGACCUUCGGGCCUCUUGCCAUCGGAUGUGCCCAGAUGGGAUUAGCUAGUAGGUGGGGUAACGGCUCACCUAGGCGACGAUCCCUAGCUGGUCUGAGAGGAUGACCAGCCGCACUGGAACUGAGACACGGUCCAGACUCCUACGGGAGGCAGCAGUGGGGAAUAUUGCACAAUGGGCGCAAGCCUGAUGCAGCCAUGCCGCGUGUAUGAAGAAGGCCUUCGGGUUGUAAAGUACUUUCAGCGGGGAGGAAGGGAGUAAAGUUAAUACCUUUGCUCAUUGACGUUACCCGCAGAAGAAGCACCGGCUAACUCCGUG